rnacentral:rRNA from 1 species
ACGCUGGCGGCAUGCUUUACACAUGCAAGUCGAACGGCAGCACAGAGAAGCUUGCUUCUUGGGCGGCGAGUGGCGAACGGGUGAGUAACAUAUCGGAACGUACCGAGUAAUGGGGGAUAACUAAUCGAAAGAUUAGCUAAUACCGCAUAUUCUCUGAGGAGGAAAGCAGGGGACCUUCGGGCCUUGCGUUAUUCGAGCGGCCGAUAUCUGAUUAGCUAGUUGGUGGGGUAAAGGCCUACCAAGGCGACGAUCAGUAGCGGGUCUGAGAGGAUGAUCCGCCACACUGGGACUGAGACACGGCCCAGACUCCUACGGGAGGCAGCAGUGGGGAAUUUUGGACAAUGGGCGCAAGCCUGAUCCAGCCAUGCCGCGUGUCUGAAGAAGGCCUUCGGGUUGUAAAGGACCUUUGUCAGGGAAGAAAAGGCUGUUGCUAAUACCGACAGUUGAUGACGGUACCUGAAGAAUAAGCACCGGCUAACUACGUGCCAGCAGCCGCGGUAAUACGUAGGGUGCGAGCGUUAAUCGGAAUUACUGGGCGUAAAGCGAGCGCAGACGGUUACUUAAGCAGGAUGUGAAAUCCCCGGGCUCAACCUGGGAACUGCGUUCUGAACUGGGUGACUAGAGUGUGUCAGAGGGAGGUAGAAUUCCACGUGUAGCAGUGAAAUGCGUAGAGAUGUGGAGGAAUACCGAUGGCGAAGGCAGCCUCCUGGGAUAACACUGACGUUCAUGCUCCAAAGCGUGGGUAGCAAACAGGAUUAGAUACCCUGGUAGUCCACGCCCUAAACGAUGUCAAUUAGCUGUUGGGCAACUUGAUUGCUUAGUAGCGUAGCUAACGCGUGAAAUUGACCGCCUGGGGAGUACGGUCGCAAGAUUAAAACUCAAAGGAAUUGACGGGGACCCGCACAAGCGGUGGAUGAUGU